CCACCAAAAGCGGAAGGUAGAUGAUAGCUGAAAGCCUCGAGUCUCCAAGGUUGAGAACCAAUACAAAUCAAGCACGCCGUAAAUUUUGAUUAUGUUCGGCAGAAGUAGAUUUCUUUCUUUUCCGAUGGUGAUUGGAGCUGUCGUGAUCGGUGUGGUUUCUGGUAAGGCAAUAUUUGGACCACCAAUUGAUGAGUAUUGGAAAAAGAAGCUUCAGGAAGAAGCAUCAGCAAAGGAGGAGGACUCAAGCUCCACUUAGCUCUCCAUCGCAUUAAGUCUUGCCAUAAUUGCUUUUUCAUUGGACUGAAGUUGAAAAGUGGCAGACAACAUUUUUAUUUUGGGUUGUACUCCAAAUAGUCAGUGCAUCAGCUGUGCUAUAUGUGGUUGUUUUGGGACACAGCUUCAGUUUCUAGUCGCUAAUUAUCAUGGAGGGACACCCCCCCCCC